rnacentral:lncRNA from 10 species
CGAAAUUUGCGGUGAUUUUGUUAUGGAAGAAGAACCAAUCUUGAAUAGGGAAGUGAUGCUACAAAAAUGCUAAAAAAUGAAUUAAUAUAAUGCAAAUGUCAGUUUAGUAAAUAUAAAUAAUGAUGCUUAUCUAUAUGGAAAGAAGGCAAAAUAUAAAUAGGUAGUCUAUUCAUAGAUAUUACAUUGAUCCAGGUAUUAAGAACAUGAAAUCAUUAGGCUCUAUUAAAAGAAAAAUUCAUUGUAAUUCAUACUUAUUUUCUAAUCACUUGUAAUAGAAUUUUUAAUAGUCUAUUUUUCAGAACAAUUUUAGGCUCACAGCAAAUACAAUAGAAUUUUAGUUAUACAAUUCAUACAUGAAUACUAUUUCCUUGAUAAGAAUUUUAAAAUAUUACCAGUAAGGCUAAAGUUAUCUUUACAGCUAGAAUUAAGGGUAUGUUAGGACUGUUUGGAAGAGGUAACGUAAAUACAUGUGAAUAGGGUAUAUAACUGAAUUUUCUAUGAGCACAAUAAUAUUCCAAAAUGAUUUAAAGCUGACUAUAUUGAAUUUAUCUGUAUAAAAUAGCUUUAGAAUGUAUAAUAUAGGCUGGGGUUUAUGGCUCAUGCCUGUAAUCCUAGCACUUUGGGAGGCCAAGGCAGUUAGAUCACUUGAGGUCAGGAGUUUGAGACCAGCCUGGCCAACAUGGUAAGACCCUGUCUCUACUAAAAAUACAAAACUUAACCAGGUGUGGUGGUGCACAACUGCAGUCCUAGCUGCUCGGGAGGCUGAGGCACGAGAAUUGCUUGAACCCAGGAGCUGGAGACUGCAGUGAGCCGAGAUCAAGCCAUUGCACUCCAGCCUGGGUGACAGAGGGAGACUCCAUCUCAAAAAAAAAGAAAAAAAUACUGUAAUCCCAGCACUUUGGGAGGCCAAGGUGGGUGGAUCACCUGAGGUCAGGAGUUUGAGACCAGACUGACCAAGAUGGUGAAACCCCGUUUCUACAAAAAAAAAAAAAAAAAAAAAAAAAAUCAAAAUUAGCCAGGCAUGGUGAUGUAUACUUAUAAUCCCAGCUACUUGGGAGGCUGAGGCAGGAAAAUCUCUUGAACUUGGGAGGUGGAGGUUGCAGUGAGCUGAGAUUGUACCAUUGCACUCCAGCCUGGAAAAAUAAAUAAAUAAAAUAAAAAAUAAAAUAAAAUGUAUAAUUGAUAGCUAAUGAAACGUCUAUAUGAAAUUUAGUUCAAGUAAAUUAUUUCCUUGCUAUUUGAAGUCCAAAACAAUUAAACUUGGAUACCUUCAUUUUAAAAAUCCUAUUGUAAAAAUAGAUACUCAAAUCGAAAGGAAAUAAAUUCAUAUCAUAGUACAGAUCUCAAAUAACUAACCUUUAACACUUUUUCUGGGACUUCAGGUAGGAGUUCCUGAAGUUGACACAGAGUUGCUAAUAAUAUCCAAUGCAGUGAAGGUCCUUUAUUUAGCAUGAGCUGAGCCACCAAUGGGUUAAUACAUGGAAAAUCAAGUAAGUACAUUUCUUCCUAGAAAAGAGUUUAAGAAAUAAUCAGUCAGUAGUCUUUUGAAAGUGAGCCAUUUUAUUCUACAAGUAAGUACAUUUCUUCCUAGAAAAGAGUUUAAUAGUCAGUAGUCUUUCGAAAGUGAUCCAUUUUAUUCUACUCGUUGCAGCAGAUUAAAACUUUUGUUAUUGCACCUACCACUCAAUUUGAGACAUUUGGGGGAAAAAUGUUACCAGAAAGUAAAUUCAAAUACAGGUUUUUAUAUUUGCUUUGCAAUUAUCUAUUUUACACAUUUAGAAAAUAUACCUCAGAUGGUGAAACUUUAAGCCAGGAUUUAUCCAACCAUUCAUGAGGAUCUCUCUUUGAGGUCAUUAAACUGUGGUCAGCAAUUUGUCGAAUUAUCAAGGCAGUUGCUUCUACUCCUGGGGCAAUUAUAAGCUAAAAAAUAUUUUUUAUGUUAGAUUAUAGGAAAUACUAGGAAGCAAAAUAUAAUAUUUUUUAAACAGUUUGUAAUUAGAAGAUAAAAUUAAACAACAGCAGAUUCUAUCUAAUUUUAGAUAGAAACUAUUGGUUUAUCUAUGUCCAGGACAUUUUAUUUAUGAGGAUAACCAAUUUUCAUUCCUUAUUUAAAUGUGAUAUCCUUGUAUUUUUAAUUUUUGGAACUAAAUCAUUUUCAUUUCAUUUGGCAUUUAUUAACAGAGUCAUUAAAAUAUAGUGUUAUAUUUCAACUAUAUUAGAAAAAUCAGCAAUUUGAAUAUCACUAGUAAUAUUACUAUUUUGCUGUUUCCAAAAGUUAAACCUAAUAGUUGUCAAUUAAAAUAAGAAUUUUAAAAAUAUAGUGCAAGAUUUUUCAAAGACAAAGUUAAAAAAUAAGGAUACUUAUAAAUGAAUUUGAUGUUGUAUUCAAAAAAGAAAAAAUAAGGUUUUGAUUUAGAGUAGUCAUCAUUCCCAGCAUUUUGGGAAUUGCUCAUCUAAUAUUGGCUUACUGAUUCUAAGAUACCCCUGCCAAAAAUGUGGUGUUUGUGUAUAUUAAAUUUAAUUCUAAAAAAUAAUUUUUUCCCAUUAGCACAGUAGUAAGGAAAAAAAGUACAGAAAAAAUAAUUUCAUAAUAUCCUCUGUUUCCUGUCUGACACUGUUUUCCUCCAUGCCCUUCUCUCUUCUGAAAUGUCAACCUUCUUUUUCUGCUUUCAUUUCUUUCUUUUCUUCUUCAUCUUUUAAAUUUGAUUGAAGGAAAGAUAGUUCAUGAGUUAGCAGUUUAACGUGAACAGAGAAAUACUGCCCCAAAUAAUCAUAUCCUGGAAAAUAAAUAUCCUGUACUAUAGUGGAAAUUUAGUAAACUGUAGAAAUCUCACAAAAUAAUUAUGACUUUUUUUCUUUUAUAAGAAUAGCAAAUACAAAACGGUUAGUACACACCUGGGGAGUAUAUGCAUUUUAAAGGAUUUUCUUUAAAUUACAUUAUAUAGGGAGAAUACACAGAAAUAUAUUGUUCAAUUCCAAAUGUACUUUAUUGCUAGUUUUGGGUGUUUUGAGAAGAUAUGACACUUUCAUUUAAAUAUAAACUUUAUUUUAACCCUUUUCCCAUUUAGAAAAAAAAAGUACAGCACUCAUUUAAUUUUACAUAAACACGCUCUUUGAGGCUGAAGCAAAUCUGACUGAUUUUCGAUGUGAAAAUAAAAUAUAAAAACUGUGCUUGGAGUUAUUUCUAAACAGAAAUAACAUCAGAAUCAUCUGAAUCAUCAGAAUUUUCUAUUUCAGAAAAAUCAGAUUCAUCAAUGGAGUCUUCAGCCAACAACUGUUUGAGAAUGAUGUUAACAUCACGAGUAGGAAUACUAUGUUUUCUAGGAUUUGACAUUUUCAGGGACUGAGAAUUACUAUAUUUUGUAAUGGAAAUACCACUACUAAAAAUAGAAUGCUAUAAAUAGAAAGAUAUCUUUUGUUUCCAAAGUUGAUAUGCUACAGCGAUGCAAAAACAAUAAUAAAAACGAGAUAUUUCGUGGCAAAGUUGUCUCAGGGUAAACACUGCAGCAACAAGCCUGGCUGGUGAGGAUUCUCAGGGCAAAUGGGAAAAGGGUUAAAAGCCAUAAUUUUAUGAUGGCGAUAAUGACAAUUAAUUUAUUAGGGCAGGAAUUCUGGGGCUCAUGGCUAGAUUUGGGAAUUCAGGAACCUACUUAAUUUGUUUGCAAAAUUUUGCAUGUGUGUAUUUAUGCAUUUUCCUGCAAAGAUGGUUCAUAAGAAAAUUACAGAACUUUUAAAAAAUUGGAAUAACACUUAGCAUAACACUAGUAGCAGUAUUUUCUUUUAAUUUAAGAAAAUGUUCUUAAACUUCCUAAUACUUCCUUGAUUUUCAAGUUCUUCAGAUGCCUGAAAAUAAAAAGGUGCUAAUGGUCCUGAUGUGCUCUAAGAGAUCAAAAGCCAUGCUACUAAAUAAAGUAAGCCUUCUGUUAGAAGAAGAUGCCAACGAGGACUUUCAUAGCUAGAAAGAAGUCAAUGUCUGUGUUCAAACUUCAAAGGACAAGCUGACUCUCUUGCUAGAAGCUAAUGCAGUUGGUGAUUUUAAGUUGAAGCUAAUGCUCAUUUACCAUUCUGAAAAUCCCAGGGCCCUUAAGAAUUAUACUAAAUCUACCCUGUCUAUGCUCUAUAAAUGGAAUAACAAAGCCUGGAUGAUGGCACAUGUAUUUACAACAUGGUUUACCGAAUAUUUUAAGCCUAUUGUUGAGACCUACUUUUGGGGGAAAAAAAAGAUUACUUUAAAAAUAUUACCGCUUGUUGAUAAUGCACCU